UUCAUAAGCUAAUAUUUUUAUGCAUUACAUAGACACAUUAAUGGUUGACAUUUGAGUUACUUCAGGUAUGAGCAUAGGCUAAUUGGUGAUAUGGUGGCAUAUGCACUCUAGAGUGAAGCAUGAUGAUUGUAUGUAUGAUGUCAGUCAGAAGAUUCGGCUCAUUGGGCCUCAUGAAUUGUGUGUUGGUAU